GAAGUGACGACUUUUAGAUCAAACCCAUCUGCUCUAGUUUUACAGAUAUCGAUUGUUUGUGGGUGGCAGUUACUUGCGAUGAUAAAGGUUUUCUUUUUACCCUUUUGGAUGUUGUUACACAUCGCCAUAGCUUCAGCAGCCGCAGUUCCUUCAUCGAGUAGGGAAGCGUUUGACAUGGGUAAACCAGUGAGAUCGGUGAUCAUGGUCUGGAAAUUGAGCAGGGAUUCUAAACGUCCCUGUGCGAUUUCCGCCUGAUAUGGAGUGUACUGUGUAUACCAACCAGGGUUUUCCAUGAUGUUUCUUAGAAUGACUGGAGGAACAGAUGUGUUGUAGUAUCCCAUACCGAUGAAGGACUUGUAGAUCUUAUUCU
rnacentral:lncRNA from 1 species